ensembl:lncRNA
UGCUCUUUUCCAUUGCUGCCUUUACAUGAUUUGAAACCUGAUGAAGAGCUUAUUUGCCUUAAAGCUUGUUUUUUACCAACUGUAUCAGUUAAUCUAAUAAAAGAUAAUGACUAUACAAACUCUCUCCUCACAUACAUUUCACAGAGUCUAGAUAGAGGGGAAAAAAUUAAGUUUGAAAACCCUACUUGUGCAGUCCCAUUGAAAGGACAACGAAUUUGUCUGGAUGCAAUAUGUAAUAAAUAACCCUAUGGGAAAAAAACAAAACAACAAAAAAAAAAGCAGAAACUCUCACAGCAUGUGCUUUACAAACUUGAAUAACUUGGACAUUUAAAUUGUUUUGUUUGGUCUCCUGCAUAUGGCAAAAUGGCCCAAUUGAUGCACUAAGUACCAUCAGUAUUUCAUUUUUAAGAAUUUAUCUGUUCUCCCUCCCCCUCCCCAUGAUGAUGGAGGAUAGGAUCAGUUUAGUAUCUGGAUCGCUGGCAGUGCACUUGAGUGCUGGUGAGUCAGCUAGAUGGGAAUGCUCCCUCUGAGUCAGUGCGGAGCCAGCCUCCCAGCAUGGUGCUUGGGGACACUCUGGUGCUUGAGCUGCAAUCAUUUAGAUCAGAGAAAACCAAAGCCCUGAACAGUUGCGGUCACUUGAGAUCAGAUGGAAAAAAACAGAGAUAUUAUGCCAGUAUCCUCAGCAAACUCAAAAGAAGACAAGAAUUGCACUAGGCCAGAUCUGCUCGCACUCUGCCAGGAAUCUUGAGGUAUGAAAAUAUCAGUAGAUGCUCAGAUCUCCGCUACUCAAAACAUUACGGGUCAGAUCCGAGCAGAGUGGAGAGGUCAGUGCUCCAUCAUCACAGCUUUAUAUCAUUAUGGGCUUUAGGGCAUAAUAGCCUGCAAGGAUGCUUGGUUAAAAGAUGGGAAGGAAACCUGAAAAAGGUUAAUUACGGCACGCACAGCACUUGACAGUUCCUUUUCAAUCUGAUUCAGCUCAGCUGUGAAUGCCACUGUGUCUUCUGCACAAAGAUCCCGCUCGCUGCUAUGCCACUUGCUGUCACCCCAAGGCAGUUGCGUGGUUUGCCCACAAGGACAGAUCCCAACCCCAAACACUGCAUGUUUUCCAAAGGGUGCACCUGCUUUGCUGUGGAUUUGGUGCUUAGAGCUUGCUGUCUGAAGCCUUAACACCCAGAAACUUGUUUUGACAGUUUGGGUUAUGUUCGUUAGGGAAUCCAAGGAGGGAAUAUCUCUGGAGGGGGCAGGGAGGAGAGGGAAAGAAGCACAAACAAAACAAAAACUUAAGCCUGUGACUAAUUGGCUGAAAGGAUGUGAGCAAUUCGGCUCCACUUAAUUGAAUGUGGGCUCAAAUUAAAAAGAAAGAGUAAUUGCCUUCAAAACUUUGCAUUGUAGAUUGCUGGUGAAAGGCUUAGAAGGUGAAAGCCUUAAAGCACAUGUGUCAGUGAUGUUGUUGACAGGAACCCAAAUAUCCUGUUAUAUGCAUCUGCAUUCAGAGGACUUCAUUCUAGAAGGGAUUAGCCUACAUUAUAUUGAUGGUUUUAUUUACAAGAUGAAUUUUCAUUAAAAAGGUACCCUGAUUUUUGCUAGAAAUUUCAGAAUGUGACCAUGCCUUCUAACUGCUAGCUGCCUUCUAAACAUUUCCUGAUCAGAGAACCUGAAAAUAGCUCUUCAGAUUUCAAAGUAAAUAUAAAGAAUCUCUGCAUUUGGUUACAAAUCCGCAUAUUCUUAUUCAUUUGUUCCUUCAAAUUUAGGGAGAACUUCAUCUGAGCAAAGGGAUAGUUGUGUUAAACACGAAUAACCAGGGAGUAGGGAGUCAAGGAAUUUACCUUGAAAGUACAAAUCUGAGUUAUGAGACCUUUUUAAAUAAAAAUCAGGAAUUAACUCAUGCGGUCUGUACAUUGCCAUUUAUUCUUUACAUCAAAGCUGCAUCCACAAGUUCUAGCCCCAUUGUGCUGUGCACAAAGACACAGAACAAAAGAAAUGUCCUACCUCUCAAAAUAAUUCUCUGCAAGAGUAACAAAGACCCUUUGUUUGCUAUUUAAGCAAGAUUGGUGGACAUCAUCUUUAAGAAGAAGCUCUGAGAAUCAACCUUUUCUGUCCUUUUCCAAAUAUGCAUAUGCACAUUUUUUGUGAGUCUGCUACAGUAAAAAGGCUCCUAAAGGAAAGAAUGGAGCAGAGCAAAAGGAAAAUAUUACUUUAUAUUAAUAACAAAUGGAGUGCACAACGCAUUCCACAUACAAAGGUUACCCAUCUACAGAGAUGGAAGCCAAGGGCAUUUUAAAACUUAAAGAUCCUUUAAAUAAACAUAUUGGUUUAAGUAGGAAGCAAAUAUUCUUAGCUCAGCAGGUAGUUGGUAUCUAAAUCACAUUCAGACUUCACAUAAAUACACAUGUCAAAGCAUUUAUCUAGUAAUAAAAAAAACAACUCUUAAGGAAUGCAGUUCAGAUAGGGAAGUGUCAGGUAUUUUGCACAUUUCCUAUUUCCAGCUCAUUAGUUUCAGCUUUUGACAGGGGUGGAGCUGAAAGAGGGGGUCAGAAAUCCUGUGGAGGUUUUUCUCUCCUCCCAAUUUCACAUGAAUAAACAGAGGGAGGGAGUCCCCUGCCUGUCUGCCAGGCUCUUAUCUAUCAUAUUUAGAUGCUAGAUGCUGUCAGAUACUAGAUAGCAAUGCCUGUAGGUAUUGCCAGUUACUGGGAAAUUAAACCUGGAACAGAAGAUACUCCUUUUCAUUCCCAAACUGACCUUAUGAUAUGAGUAGGUUUCAACAUCCUUCGAAAAACACUGAUGUCCAGACAAAGGUGGCAUUAUUAUAUUUUCAUCAUUUGCUACUCACACCUGAUUAUUAUUAUUUUUUUUCUCAUGUUGUCCACAAGUCUCUUACCAGCACCUUAUCUGUACCUUUUCUUUUGCCUACAUUAAUGUGUUCCUCUCAAAUCCAGGUUCUCUCACUCCGGAAGUUGUAGGUUUAGUACUGCACUGCUGGUUUUAAUUUGAACUUUCCUGAGUAUUAGGGAUUAUCAGAAAUACCUUGUUUUCAAAAAUAAAAUAGAAAGUGAAAAAAUAUACCUAGUUUUCCUUUAUUUCCCUAAAAAACAUUUCAGAAAAUGACAAUGCUUCCCUAGAGAGCGUUACUGUAAGAGGGACUUCGAUCUAAUUCUUGAAAUAUGUGCCUAUGAUCACUAACAGUCAAGUUAGCAAUUACCACCCUUGUGCAAGAAGAUACACACUGUAAGCCAAGAUAAGAUAUCCACACAAGCACACUGUCCCUACUAGCAGUAGAACAAACCUAGCCAGCACAAACUGCAAUAUAAAAGCUUUCAUGCAUUCAGCUGCUCUUUCAUCUGAAGGCUGAUAAAUUCCAGCUGAUGGAAGUUAACUUCUUAAGACACUGUUGGAGCAUCCCUUGGUUUGUUGUUGGUAGGAUAUAAAUUAAUAUUGAUAUUUAAGGUACUUUGUUUACAGAGAGGAAAGCCAACAAUAUGGCCUAACUUUUGACUGAGUGAGGUCUCAGAGGUUACUUUGCACUGGCAUGAUCAUCCACACCUUUGGAUUACUUUUUGAAAAAUCUUUGUGGAUCAUGAGAUGCUUCUACUGUGAUAUGAAAAGAAAAUGACUGGCUUUGAUUUGAUGGUCAGGUGGAAUUUCAGUUUGGUUCCUAUCACCUCUCAGACUUGCUUAGAUGAUUCUGUUCCUAAAGUCUGUAUGGGUGUCAGGAAGAACAAUUAUGACUUGUUUUAAAGCUGUUCUGUUAGGGUCACAGGUGAAGUAAAAGACCCAUAACAUUUACCAAUAAUCAUUAGGACAGAGCAUAAGUAUUCACUUUGAAUUAACUUGUAAGCUAGAAGCAUUAACAAAGGCUGCAGGAAGUAUAAUUCUGGGAGGCUCAAAUCUGAAAUUUAUUUUGUCGCACUGUCAUAAAGGGGGUGCAACUUCUUUAAUGGAUUUGAGCCGUUACUAAAUGCAGUAGAGAACCAUAGGAUUCAGUGGACUUCACACAGCCAGGAGUUCAGAGUCUGCCCACUGUGGCUGGUGAGCUAUUUCAGAUGUCUGUUUCUAGCAGAAAUAGACCCGAAAGUGGGUUUACUCUCAAAGAAGAAAAAAGUAGGGUGAUGUAAAUUUCUCUUAAUUUGAGACUACAUUAUGGCCUGCUGCUGCUCAGUCAAAGAAGAUCAAAAAAAAAAAAAAAAAAAAAAAAUAGUUGCCUUUCUUGCUCUGAGUUUCUAACUGUCCUGCUCAGAUUGUGAAGCUAACAGUAGCUAAUAAAGGAGUAAGUGAACCAAACAUGAAUAACAUUUAGUUUAAAACCUAUCAGAUGGCAGAUGGGCCAUGUCUCAUAGGUGUCGUGGAGACAGUUCAGUGGAGAAGAUGCUGACCUAAUGGUGGCAAGAAUAUACUCCUGCCACUGCUGAUCAUUUUUCAUGGAUUCCCAGUUGGUUGUUUGAUAUGCAACUCCAAAAUUUAUUGUUUUUCUCCUUUUUCUUUCCUUUCUGUCAGCCAAUAAAGAGAAACCAUAACAUCAGCAGUGUUUGAAAACAUAUUUAUGUUUGUUUCCCCUAUAAAAAGAGAUAAUAAUGUUAUGUUCCAAUAAUAUUAAGUUGCAAUGUUAUUUGCAAGAUUGCAGAGCUUUUAAUUUUCUGAUUAUUUCCACAGUGGGAGUUUCAGCUCAAUUUCUACUAAGACAUUUCUAUCUGUUUUGGUUAUUUUUUUAUUACAGCUAGAAGCAACAAUAAUUGCCUUUAGUGUAUGAAAACAUGACUGAGGAGACAAUUGUCGUCCCUAAAGACUAAAAUCAUCAGCAUACAUUUUUGAUGUAAAAUUUUUGUAAAUUAAUUGCAAGGUCCUAUAAAUAUUAUAUUUACUAAAAUUGUGUUGUCUGCUGUCUUCAAAGAAAUAAUCUUUUCCUUUUUCUUUCUCUCUCUUUUUUUUUUUAACUAUGUUUCGUAUGCAGUACAUUUCCUGAGGCAGAAAACAAAAACAUGGAACAAAAUAUUAGCCUUUUACUUUUGUAGUUUUACAUUCUACUAUUUCUCUUUUUGAACUCUGGGGUUUCUUUUUAAUAUAGAGAAAAAGAUCAGUAACACUGUCAUUAAUCAUAACCAAUUUUCAGUUUCUCACUGUUCAGUUGAUCAAAAAAUUGAAUAUCCAUCCCAAAUAAUAAGGCAGUAUUCUUGCAUUUGAUUUUCUCACAGACCAGGAAAAUAAAUUCAAAAUGUCAAACGUUUUGUAGAAUAUCUUUUUCUGCAAUUCCUAUUCAGAAACAAUAAAAUGAAAUCUUUUAGAUGUCUCAUAAUGAAAGUGCUCCCACCCAGUUACAUCCUGGGAGAAAUUAUCUAUCACGACUUAUAAAGGAAAUAUCGUCUGCAACCACCCAUAGAGGAACCUGACAGACUGUCAAAGACCUGGAACUACAGUUGUCAAAAGUCCCUGAGAUAACUUGGGUAGAUGCCAAGAUUAAUAAGCCUAAUUAAAAUUACACUACUUUAUUUCCAUUUUUUCCUUGUAGAAUAAUAAACCACAGUCAGCCUAGAUUUUGUUUUUUAAAGAUCUAUUUUUUUACCUGGCUGUGUUAACAUCUCUCCAGUUGCAUUAUCUCACAGUCUGGUAUGUCCUGUGCAACCCAGAUGUAUAGUUGUUUCACAAGAUUUAUGAGUACAUGGCAAAGUUCUCAAGACAAACAGAUUAUGUCCUUUCCGAAUAGCUGUGUUUGACUGCAGGAGCUACAGAGUAUUUUGGAUAAAUGUGCUCAGCAGGCCUUUCUUUGAAGGAGACAGAUAGUGUAACAGCUAAUAUCAAGAACAGUGAUUAGCACCAAUAGAUUUUAGCAGAUUUACUCCAGUCAUAAUGGUAGCCCUUAAACUUGAGGAGGCAGUGCACUGGACUUACAUUAACUCUAGCAAAUUUGCUCCUAGAAAAGCAGUGGAAAACCUAGGGAAGAUUCUUACUAAUAAAGCACACUUUCAUAAGAAAAUCUGCUCUCCAAGGAAGAUCAGGGACAAGAUUAUACAGACAACCAGGACAAAAAUCAGUAGACAAGAAAAACUUCAGAAAUACUUAGUCUGUGGUUACUGUCUAAGAAUUAACUAUUUUUUUAUUUUUUAUUUUUUUGUUAAGACAGAUAUCAGGUCACUUUUUGAGACCAAUCACAGCUGCAGCUAUACCUGGAGUAGGACCUUGCUUUGGUUCUUCAUGAUUGCUAUAUCUAAAGUACAGCAGGAUGCAGCCAGAUAUGUCAAACUGCCCUUGUUUUCAACCAGGUAUUAGAUUCACAACUUCCUAAUGUAAAGAAAAAAAAAAAUUAUCUGUACUUUUGAAGACUGAAUUCAUCUCCAGGUAAUACAAAUGAGAAACGGUGCUCUUCCCCACAGUAAUAGGAUUGCAAUCAAGCUCUCAAUGUGAUUUACAAACUCUGUAGUGUUAACCAAUUACUUGCUGGUCAGCCAAUAACAAUGACUGAAUCAUCUUUUGCUUCAGAAAAGGAUCACUGCGCACAAGUUGGAGAAUCUCACAGCACUGCCUUCAAACCAUUCCUACUAAAUAAGACACUGCACUUCUCUGUCGAAAGAUACUAUAUGGUAUUUUAGCCCAAGAAACUUAUGUCAGGAUCUAUAAAAACAACUGGGAACAUGCAGAAUAAUUGAAUCUUAAAUGAUUGUGUAUAAUGUGUCUGCAUUUAUAUUUCAGCAUUUAAAUGCGUUUCAAUACUUUGGUGUGUGAAAGGGUUAAACAAUAACAGAUUUCCUGUGCUAAACAGCUUAAUGAAAAACAUUCAGGGUGCUUUUUUAGAACAACAGACUCAUACUGCAAAAUGAUAAUCUUUGGUAUGUCCUUUUUUUUUUUCUUUUUCACAAGUAACAAUAUAGGCGAGACAGACUUUGCUAUAAUUCUUCCUAAUUGCUCUAAUGCAUUUCAUUUUAUUUUAGUGUUUUCAGUUUAUAAAAACAGUUAGCAUCAGUUUGUUUCCAGUUUUAAUGGAGAUAAACUCCUUCUUUUCCCCCUGAAAAAAAUUCACAAUAUGGUUGGAAAUGUCAGCAAUAAUUAGACAAAAUGCUUGUGAAACAUAAAAUAAAAACAAUACGUCUUUUUAUAAUGGAAUCAGUUUGUCUGAUUAUCUCAAACAAUGUACAUUUCCAACUGCCCAGGAGGGUCAUUAGAGCUUAUGAAAAUCAAAGUCUGCUUUUUCUGCUUCAGACAUCAUGGACAACAAUAUUGUCUCCAGGAUCAUUAUAAAUAUAUGUUAGACUUUCUUGAACUACAGUGAACCUGAAGCAUGAAAUGCAUUUAAAGAUAAAAACAUCAGGGGAAAAAAAAAAGAACAAAUGAAAAACAAAACAAAAAAGCAAACAAAUAAAUCCACUUUGUGUUAUUAACUAAAUAAGUGUUACAUAGAAAUUAUAGUUGGAUACAUAACCUCGCUGAAUACAGUACUCAAGGGACCUUGGUUCUAUUCUGUCAUCAGUCACAGAUUUCCAGUAUAACCUCAGAAAAGUCAUUUCCUACCCUAUGCACAAUGAGGGCUAUUUGUCCCUUAAAGAGAUGGUUGUGACAGAGCUCCCUUCUGAGUUCCUGUCUAGGUGUGAAGUCUAAUUCAAGAAGUUUCUGUUAUUCCUUUGAGAUACACUCAGAGAAUAGACAAGAGUAUCACUUCUACCUUUUUUCCCAUUUGUAGAAAUGGGGCUAAUAUUCUCUUGCUCUCACUGGAGAGUUUAUGGAUACAAUCCAUUAGUGUGUGAGAGGCAUUCAGAUACCAUGAUGACAAGGACCAUUUAGCAAGUAAAUAUCUGGAUGGAGUAGGAGGAAUUCAGCUGCUGUUACCACAUUACAUUACAAAUAGUUUAGGACAAAAGACAAACGGGAAGUCUGAUAAGUUUAUCGUAUGAUCAGUUAUAGUCAUACAACAAUUCUGCACUCAAGGAACCUGGAAAGCUGUUUCAAAAAUGAAGUUUCCACCUGUUUAGUUUGUUUACCAAUAAGUGUGGCAGUAUGCCUAUUCUGCCCAGUGGUUUAAGCACUUUUCUCCUGCUCAUACAUGCUGGGUUUUCAGUCUUCAAUUGCAUCUUUCAGAUUCAGCAGCAGUGUCACACGGCAAGAUGGAAUUCUAGGGAUGCUGCUGCGUUGUUUUGGAUGGGAUCCUACUAUAUCAGCUGCCAAAGUGCCCAAGGAAAAACUGAAACUUACAGGAAAAUUAUAGCGACAUGAAGAAAUUUCAUUAAAAGUGACAUGUUCUAAACCUUUUAGAAAUACAAAAAUCUGUUGAAGAUCCCAAGAUGUGUGUAGAAAAUGUGGGUAAGAAAAGAAAAUGCAUUACUAAACUAAUCUAAAACCAAAGCAGGUAUUUCUCUGCUAUAGUAUUGCUACACAUAUGCUCUUGUUAGUACAAGCAAAUGCUUACCAAUAAUGAACAAUCUCUGUUGGUUGCAAUGCUCAAGCACAAAUUAAACAAUGCUAAAAACUAUUAUUAAAGCACAUGAAGGAAUUAAUACAUAAAAUCCUUCUGCUACUUCAAAUUCACAGCAAAGCGAUUCCUCUCAGCUAAGCCAUCAGUACAAUGUACAGAAGCCUAUUUUUAGGAAUGGUUAAGGGAACAUACUUUCCAUGGAUCUCCAUGUAUUUCAAGCCUACUAAGGGUACAACCCAUCCUAUCAGAGUAGGUUUAUUUGGAGGAGGAGGACAAGGAUCCCUGCUCACACUGCCUCCCAUGGCAUGAGAAAUGAGAAUAUUCUCGACAUCCCAGUAGCAAUAGGAGUAGAUAUGAUCCACUGUAAAAUCCUGUGAGCUUCAUUAUCAGUUUCAGAUGAGGGUUCUGUUUGUAAUUAGCAGAAACCAAACCAAUGAAGUAGUAUUUGGUUUUCUUUUGUGUGUUUUGCUCUCCAACAGUUGCUGAACACUUCAUUUUAGUCCACCAAUUCCUCAGCUAGUGACACAGCCCAGUCAGGGUCACAGGCCCAAAAUGUAUUCCACCUCUAUGCUCACCUGUCUCUUAAGCAGGGAAAUUAAAAUUCAUUGUCAAAAUAAGCAGAGAUUUUGCAGAUUGAAACAAGAGAGGAAUAGCACUUCUCUCUCUUGUGUCUUCUACAGUGUAACACAGCAGAGAAAGUAAAGCCCAGGGAAAAACAAAUUAGAGUGACCCCAAUGUCCUGAAGACAAUAUUUUCAAGCUUCAUCAUUGAAAUAAAGAUUUGAGAAAUCACCAAUCAACAGCUCAAAUCCACCAGAAGCAGAACGUCAAGUUUGGGCCCACAUGCAGAUUCUCACAUGAGGCUUUCACAUGGCAAGCUCCAUUUCUUCUAAAUUUUUCACUAUCAAAACUACUUCGAUGAAAUCAGAGUCAGCUGAAGAGAAAAAGGCAAAUCCUUCCGGGAUGAGGAAGAAACAGAAGGAAAAGAGAAGAGAAUUGAGAUGGAAAAUACAUUCUUGUCUCCAGAAAUAAGCAAGGCUCCCCAGAAUUUGGAGAUUAUGCAGUCACAGUUACCACAGCAAACGUAUUCUGAGCCGUGUCUUGGACCAUCCCAUUAAAGAUUUUCAAAUACACAACUAUAGGACUGCUUGCAAGAGGGCUGCAUAUUUGAAAUUUGUUUAAAUGCUAGUGUUAUGGAAAGCAUAAUCGGUACAGAUAUACCAAAACUGAGUCUGUAAAACAGAAAAUAAACCUUGCCAUUUGCCAUUUAGAGGCAGUUUAAAACAAGGUCUUUGACUUUGGACUGUACCUGGCAGGUUAGAGAUUCACUAGAUGUGCAGAAGAUGCAGCAAACUGAGAUCAUAGACUAAUGAUUUAGAUUUAAGAUUUAAACUAUAUCUCAUUGUCAUUGAGAUAACAUAAUAACUGAAUUAAAAAAAAAAAAAAACUGGCUUUUGUCAGUGCAAAAAUUAAGCUCUUGUGCUUGCCUCAGUAAUGAAAUAUACAACAUCUCUUGUUGUCCUUACCUUUGAACUGCAGAUAACUGUACAGCAAUGUUACAGGACAGAGAUACACUUGUGAAAUAUUCACGAGCUGAUGUCUUUGCAGCCCCACGGGACCAGUGAAGAGCUCUUUUUUCCCCCACAUCUCUCUCUCAGACUUUAAAUAAUGAGGAGCAGAAAAGGUAUGAGACAACAUGUCUGUGUGUCUCCUUUGAAAUCUUUUCUUACAUUACCUUGUUAUCUGUGCUCAAGAGCAGCAGGUAUUCCAGCAGUUCAGAGUGUAUCCACAGCAAAAACACCCAGCAAAAUAGACUACCAGUCGACACAGCUUUCAGUUCCUGGUCCAGUCGGCAAAACACAAAACUAAUACAUAGGGGAGUGCCAGCCUGGCUGAGGCUAGAGGGGAGUGAAGGCAGAAUUUUUGCCAACCAGUGAUUUAGGAAAAUAUAUAUUAUUCAUCCUGGAAAACAACCUAAUGCACUGUUUCCUACUCUGUGCUCUGAAAGUGCCUUCAUAUGGAAAGCUAUUAAACUUCUAUAUGUUUUUAGCAUUACAGCGUGGAUCAAAGCCUGACCACCCCAGGCAGAUGAGAGUGUCAGAUCCCUCCACCAGUCAGGAGGAUUUGGAUCAGUGUUUUCACUUUAGCCGUCAGUGGUGAAGAAAUCCAUCCAGACCUGAAUUUGGAGUUUUUCCUAUGCUACAGUACUGUGCAUUGGGAAAGACCAUCCUGAACUUACUAUGGGUGGAAUUCCACUUGUUUCUACCACUCUAAGUCAGGCUGGAGCAUGGACAAGAAUUAAAUCAGACCAGACUUAUCAGGGGAAUUCACCUUGUCAUCAAGGCAAACGUAACACUUUUUUUUUUUUUUUUUUUUUUUGAGGAGGCAUCACAUUUUAAAUUUCAAGUGCUGUAAGUCUUCUAACCCCCUUUUUUUAUUCCUUCUGUGAUACAAAAAUGCUUAUAUAACAGGUAUUUUCCCACACCAGCCUUAAAAGCCCUUAUUUCCUUUCUUUUUUUAUUUCAACAGACUAAUAGUCAUUGCAACACAGGUGACAGUAAAUCAAAUCAAGUUGAAAUGUCGGCCUGACUCAUUCUCAGACGAUAUAUGAUUUGUUUGCAUUGCAUUAUCUUGGAAACCCAUAGCCAGUGUGCACUAACUACAUGUCUGCACAUGGCAAGAAGAUAAACACCCUUAGCCAGUAAUAUAAAAUCUAAAUAAAAUUACAAUCAGGUUUGUAUACUAGGAUAGCUUUGUAACACCCAUGGGGCAUUACUCUUAUCAUUAGAAUUAUUUGCAUUAGAGCAGUGUCCAAAGAUCCUGCCUAUGAUCAGGUUCAAAUUGUGCUAGGCUCUGGAAAACAUGGGAAGAGACAAAAAUUCUGAAUGUUAAAUAGAUAAUUACAUGCAAAGGGUGUGAGAAAGAAAGGAUGGCUAUCAUUAUUUUGUAGAGAACUUAGGUGUGGAGAUUACAUUUUUGCUACAUUCUAAGCAUAGGUGCAAAGCAAUGCUGAAGUACAAGUCUGAUUUGCAUGUUCUUUGCACACCAUAACAUGUGUAGGUUACCACGGCUUUGUGGAAAUACUGAUAACAGUGGGAGAGAAAGCUUGAGUCUUCCAUCUCCAGCCACACACAUGGGCAGCUGGAAACGGGUGGCUAGGCUUUUCGCCUGAGGCAACAGCCACGCAUCCUGUCAUGCUGUCCUCUGACACUAUUUGAGUGCUGAUCAGACACGCCUGCCCAAGUUGUUCCCAUAAAGGCUUAGAGCCCUGCAACACAGGAUAGAUGGGCAGGAGAGUUACAGGAACGCCAAGCCCAGAGUCAGAUACCUGAAUGGAUGCCCAGACAACAUGAGUGGGUUUUUUGUUUAUUUUUUCUUUUUCCUCUCUUGGGCAGACCACAUGUUUUCUGUAAAGUCAUAAAAAAAUCUAAGUGGUGCUAAGAACCAGUCACCUCACUCCAGUUUGGCAUUUGCAAAUUCACCAUUCCUCUCUAAGGUAACAGCUGCUGGAACUACACCAGCAACUUCUUCAAAAAACAGGACAAGUGGUCUUUCAGUGGUGAAAGAUCUGCUGAACUCAAAGGAAGCUGCAUCUGGAGUAACAUUUCAAUGUAUACGCUGUGCAUGCUUACAAGUUUUAUGAUUACAGAAACAGCCAGCACAAUGCUGGGCUGACGAAAGAGGGGGUGGAUGUUUAGAUGCUGCUGUUUCACUUCAUGUUGGCAGGGAUAUGGAAAUUAUGAAGUGAUAAGGAGAGAUGUAAGAGGGAGGAGAAGGCAUGAGUGAUUGAUUAUGUGCUUAAUUAAGCAAUGUUGGCCACAUCAAGUUGUAGUGAAGUCUCUGUACAUCUGUAGCAUGCUUUUAGUCCCAGGCAAUAAAUUGGCUACCUGCCUCUGAAUGGACAGUGAGGGGAAAAUACUUUUGAAGGUAGAAAUGUUGGCUAUCCAGAAGCGAUGGAUGGUUACUUACUAUUUUUUUUUGUCUUUGAAGACUGUAUAUUAUCAGUUAACAUAAUGAACUCACCAAGUGGUCCAGUAACCCACGGAAGUAAUUCUACUUAGAUCACUGAAAUAAAAGGCAGGAGCAAGGCUUUCAGACUUAGGCCUCAAACAAAAACUAACAUUCAAGGAUAGCAAGCUUUUCCUCCUGUUUAAGCUCCUUUAAUAAAAAUGCAAAUAUUGCUUUCUUAACCACAAUAGGAACUCUAGUCAUUAUUUUUCAAUACUAAUGUUAGUGUUUUCCUAUAACUUCUGUUGUGCUGUAAUUCUAGAGGCCCAUGUCUAAUCCCAUAUGUAAUGUGUUUAUUAGAUGUAAUAUUUUAUCUCUUGGAUACAGUUUCUGACACUAUCAUUUUGUUCUUAUUUCAAUAAAACUGAUUUCCUUCCUUCUCACCCUGACAGGAUGCAUUGAAUUUCUUUAUCACAGAAGAAAGUUAGAAAGGUUCUCCCAUAAAAGACAAAAAUGGACUGCAUGUAGUGUGGCUUAAUUUAAUUUAUCUCAUAAAGUCCAGACCAAAUAAAGUAACUUUAUAAUAUUAGAUACGGCCAGAAUUGAGCUGGGAUUCUUUUGUUGUUGUUGUUUGUUUUUAAUAUAUGGUUAUCUAGUCUCAGUAAAUCUGUAGCUCAUUGGCUUCACCACCUGUAUCCUUCUGAACACAGAAUGAAACAGUACCAAAUGCUCAUGCAAUUUCUGAUUUUCUUUGGGAAUUCACUAUCUGUGUGCUUUAAUCAAGUGAUAAUAUGUAGGAACCAUUCCAGCUUUCAGCUGACAAAAGCACAAUAUUAGUUGUUUGAUGAGAACUCCUCUAUGGAUACAAAUUCCACAUGGAUUUUCCCAGGCUUUGUAAAUUUAUUAAAAAAUAAUAUAUUCUAUACACAAUUAGAACAUGAAUGUUAAAAGAGUAAGUAAAGUAAUUUGUUGGGAAUGUGAAAUCAUCUAGAAAAGAAAGAUGUUUUCGUAUAAUUUUAGCUGUCACAUAAUAAUUUGCAAAACACAGAAGGCAUUUGAAACCUUUGGUAUCCAGAUCCAGAUUCCCAGUAGAAAAGUAUUCCUUUCAGGCUACCUUCUGGAAUAAAGGUCUUCUUUAUCUCCUUUAUCAUAUUGGUAGUGUUUCACUAAACAGACAGUCAGAAGCUGCUGUUGAAUAGGGAAGCUGGAAAACGCUCAUCUUAUUUCAUAUUCAUUUUCCACACCUUGUCAACAACUGCACAGCUCACCACUGAAGCUGCAUUUCAUGCAAUGCAUCCAAAGGUUACAACUUAUAGGUCAGAGAUGGGAAUUUUCACUUCGCAAUCACUGGGCAGCUGAGACUCCAUACAUUACUGUGGUGACAGGUAUAGUACGCAGUGAUGAACCUUCUGUCAGUCAGACAGAGGUCACAUUGGUAUCAGUUACUAACAUACCCCUCUCCUAGCUUAAAAAAAAAAAAAAAAAAAAAAAAAAAAGGAAAAUUAAAAAAAGUCUAUUUUUUUUCUUCUUGUGGAAAAUGGAAACAGAGUUGAUGUUCACUAAUGUCAAGUGGCAGGAGAUUUAGAGCCCCAGAGCUCAGGAGGUCUCCUGUAGCUGUGCUGGCAGUACUUUCAGCACCAACAUAAAUCGCCGCCUGAACUGAAACCCACAAAAGCUGUUCCAGAAGAAACUACAACAGCCACGUAAACAUGUACUGGACAGGAAACAAUGAACUCCAACCUGGUACUGGAGAAUCCAAAAUAAGAGCAUGUCAACUUCCUGGUCAUAGCUAUUUUAUUUUUUUUCGUAUUUAGCAUCACUUACACAAAAACAGUUAAAAAUUAUUACCUUAGCAGACAGUCAGAUUUUUAGUUUUUGUAAUGAGGUGGCUGAAUCUCACAUUAAAGAGGAAGCUGUAACACAAAUAAGAGGAAGUGAAUAAGUACUUAAGAUGUACCUUCAACUCCGUAAUUUUAACGCUUUCAUGAAGAGAUCAGAAUACAAAAUCUAUCAUCAUUAAUUAUAUCCUGUUAUACCAUCCUUGUGUUCUUUGCCAAAUAAAUGCCAUAACACAUCAGAUAACAACAGAAUAUUUACAUUACAAAGGUUAAAGGAUCAUGCUAUCUGUAGCUAGGUCAAAGUAUUUUGGUCAACUGCAAUAAAAUUUUGUCUGAAGGUCCCCAGAGGUUAAUGCGAUCACUGAACUUCACAGUCAGUUUAUGAAUAAGACCUUAAAAGAAUAUUCCUAAGUUCCUGCAUUUUCCUACUUGUGGUACUUGAACAUCCACAAGCAAAUACUGGCCUUCCUAAACAAGACAGUUGGAUGACACAUUUUUUUUGUGUCAAAAAGGAAGCCCUUCUUCCCCUCAAAAAAAAAGAAAAAAAAAAAAAACCUAGCAUAAAGCAGACUCUAUACACAUGGAAUAAAUUGAUUUUACCAAGGCUAAAUUUGUCUAGUGGAGCCUAUACUUGAGAUCAUUCAAGCGCUCUCUUGAGUUAUCUCAUUGUAGCAGAGUUUGCAGGACAGGGCCUUGAAUUUGUUUCUGCCAUACAAAGUUGAUAUAUAAGAAGACAGGAUUUAAUUGAAACAUCUUGAAAGAG